AUUCUCCUUCUCUUCCCCUUAGUUUCCUUUAAGAGUGAUAAAAAUGGAAAAGGGGGCUGAGGUGGAGGAAGGAGACC
rnacentral:precursor_RNA from 1 species